CAAUGCAACAUCUAGCAUUAAUUAUAUAAAUAAUAUAAUUAUUAUUAUUUUCUAACAAGUAUUGCUCAAAGACCGCUAGCUUACAUUUUUUUCGGCGACUGCAAUAUUUUGCUCCUCACUCAGACGCGACGAGCGCAGAGCAGCGCUGGUUUCCUGCCAUAUAGUGCGCUUCCUCAGAUCGGUGUCUCGUGACGACCAGCUGAUCAGCUCUUCAAAGCAACUGCCCUGAGGUACAGUUCAAAAUACAGUAGAUGGCGAUAUGCAACUGAUAAAUCAUGGUUAUAAUCCGCCAUAAAACUAAGAAGAAGAACAGUUUAAAACGCUCGUGCUGACUCCCUGCACUGAGCGCGCGCGCGGACUGAAUGAAAGCAGUGGCUUGCGCGCAACUCUCCAGACGCGUUGACCAUCACAGGUUUGAUACUUUUUGGUUUCUGUGGGAAUCAGAAUUCCUCCUCUGGAGUGGCACUCGGGGUUCCUCCGGUCCGGCUGAAUUCCUGCGAGCAGAGAAUCCAUUUGCAUUGAUAUUAGCAGCCCUUCACCAUGGUUACGAGGUCGUACCCCGACCAUGAGGAAGAGGGAAAAAAACCAGCACAAGAUGCCAAGAGCUGACUCAAAUGAGUUUGAGCCGAAAACGUUUGAUGUCCCAGCCAAUUUUGUGCAUGCUGGGUUUGAGAGGCCAGACAUCUUAUGCAAGAGAUUUAAAUCGGACUAAAUAAAAUAAAUGUAAUGGUGAUUAAAAUUUCAUUUUAAUUAAAAGGAGAUUCCAAAACAA